rnacentral:lncRNA from 13 species
UGGGCCGACACCCAGCCAGGCCAGUAACUCUGCCUGGAGCCCCAAAACCUUCCCUGGGACCCCAGCCUGAUACACCCUCCACAACCAGCCUUCCCAGGUCAGAACAGCAUAGGUCCUCCAAACCCAAGAGCUCCGGGAGGCCCUUCUACCCCCACCACACACAACAGACCACACACACCCCACGCACAUACAGACACACACACAACACACACGCACACACACAACACACAGAUGUAUUAUAUACACACCACACACACAGACACACAUAUACACACCACAUACACACAACAGACCCCACACAUCACACACACACAACACACAGACACAGACAUACACACCAUGUACACAUCACACACACACAAACACACCACAUACACAUACACACAACAGACCCGACACACCACACACACGCAUACACGCAACACACACGUAGACACAAACACACGCACAUACAAACACAGACAUACACACCAUGUACACACCACAGAUACACAUACCACAUACACCUACACACAAGACUCCACAGACAUGCCACAUGCACACACACACAACACACACACAGACACACAGACACACAGACAUACACACCAUGUACAUACCACACACAGAUACACCACAUACACCUACACAAAACAGACCCCACACACACCCCACACAUGCACACACACAACACACACACAACAUAUACAACAGACCCCAUACACCCCACACAUGCAUACACACAACAUGCACACAAGCACACACACAAAGACACACACCACAUACAAGACUCCACACACACACAGCACAUACAGACACCCAAACAUACACACCAUGUACACACCACACACACAGAUACACCACAUACACAUACACACAACAGACCCCACACACCCCACACAUGCACAGACACAACACACACAUACAUACACACCAUAUACACAUACACUCACACCACAUACACACAACAGACCCCACACACCCCACACAUGCACAGACACACACACAAACAUAUACACCAUAUACACAUACACACACACACCACAUACACACAACCCCAAACACACAGACACACAACACAGACAUACACGCCAUAUACACACCGUAUACACAUAUACAUACACACACAUACACACCAC